AACCUCCAUAUGCCGCAGAUGUGGCCCUAAAAAGAAAGGAAAAAAAAAAGAUAAUAUGUGAGUCCCCCAUCCCAUGUGGCAUCUGGUACACCAGAGUUGCUGCUUCGCUGGCCCUCUGCUAUAGGGUCUGGGCUGGCAUUGGAGGCGUCCACACGGCCUGGAAGCAGAGAGGGAGCCUGGGGCUUUGCAGAUCCUGUGGGAAGAGAGUGAGGGGUGGGGCAGGGCACAGGACAGACAGAGCCUCCUGGCUGCUGUUUUCCCAAAGCCCCUGUUGCUUGUCACUUCGGGGCAGCUCCGUAGGGAAAGGCCCUCAGCUGCUGGCGCUCAGGCCACAAUGCAGUGCGGGUGCCCGAGGGGGAAAGGCGCCUGGAUCCUGCUCCCACCUGUGCCGCGUGGCCCCAGGGGCAGGUGUUUCCUGGAUGGACAGAUGUUUGCAGAAGCGGCGGAUCAACGAGGGCAGGAAGGGGACCCCCGCCCCCAGAGCCAUGCAGCUCAACGGCACCCCCAUUCUGGCCACAGAGACGGUUGUGUGCUUAGUUGGGGAUGAAGAAGGCUGAGUCUUGUUUCCACUCCUGGAAAGUGUCUCUUGACCGGAGCAGCCCCGUGUGGCUGGGGGGCAGAGGCAUGCCUCCCGUGUGGGCAGCGCUGUGUUCUCCCCCCAUCGCUCUGCGACCGCGUCUCCUCAGCUGGGAACGCAUGUCUCCCUGUCAUGGGCACCUCGCUGCUGCAGCCCAGACCAACCCUGCCCUUCUCAUCUGACGCCGAGUAAACUCAGGCUUUGCAGUUGGGACUUGCCUGCCGUGGCUCCAGGGGCCGGUGCAAGAUGGAGACAGGACGCCAGGCUGGCCUGUCCGUCAUCCUGGCCAUCCUGCCAGUGCUGUCAUCCGAGGAAGCGCUGACGAUGCCUGUUUUCCGAUUGUAUUUUUGGAUUAUUAGUUCUUUUUCCUGGUCAUAAGAGCCUGUUUACCGUAAAAGCUCCAGAAUCUAUAGCAAAGUGUAAAUAAGAUAGUAAAAUGCUCAGGAGCCUGCGGCUUUUGUAAGCAGAGGUCGUGCUUCGUUCGCUGAAGGCUCCUUAUGAUUAAGCUGUAGGAAGGAUUUUCAACCUCUAGUCCCUGUUUAUUUCAACCCCUCCCCCGCCCCACAUGCUUUAUUCUAAGUUCCUCAAAGUCCCCUUUGCUAUCCCUGUGUGUCCCCAUGUGCUGUCCCACUGUGUGGCACCUGGGACUGCCCCCCUGGGGGAGGCGGGCGUGCGUGGCAGGAGAGGGCGAAGGGCAGGUGGCUCCUGGGCCGUGGAGCUGCUGUACUGGCCCCUGUGGGGUGUCUGCCCCGGGUGCAGGGUCAACAUGGGUCUGGGAACUUGAGCUUGGCCGAGUCAGGGAGAAUCUGACCCGCUGUGCUGACGGGUGGCUGCAGGGCAAGGAUCCCGGGAGCCUAAUCGUGCUGCAACGAGAGAGCCGGUCUCCUGCCACUGCUGGGGGCUGCCUCCAGCCCUGGGAGGACAGGCGAGGGCCGGGUCCAGAGUUGGGCUUCAGCAAAGCAGAACGGGAGCACAAGGUGGGAAAUCGAGGCAGACACACAGAUGGACCGACUGCCAUGCAGGAAAGCUUAAGAGAAGCCUGCAGAGGACUGGCCAAAUAGGACAGGAGAGGCCGGAGCUGCGGCCGCUGUGGCCGGGAGCCCAGGCCAGGCUGGCUGCUUCUGGGAAGGGUAAAAGUGGCUCGGCCGUCAUGGGGUGCUUUCACUCCCGGGGCUAGGAGAGGGCAGCUAGUAGUGCCGUGAGCCCUCAGCAGCACCGGAAAACUUGGCAUCAGCUACCUGCGACAUUGGCCACAAACAUUCCCAGAGGCUGUGAGCUUGAUCUUUGGCUCUGAGUGUCUGCAGAGCCCCAUGGGGCACAGAAAUGGGUGAGACUUGGUCCCUACCCGUGGGAGGUCAGGGCAGGAUGUGAGUGGGUGGGUCUGUACCUAGCCAGCUGCCAAGUUCAUGGGGACACAAAACAGCAGGAAUUCUUACUAAUAGGGCCAGGGAAGGUGUCUCUGAGGAGCUGGCAUUGCAGCCAGAAGUUGGACAAGGGUAGGAUUUCAAUAAACAGAGCACACACGGGGUGGGGGCGGGAUGGGGGCACAGAGCCUUCUAGGCGAAGGGUUCAGCCCAAGCGAAGGCUGGGCUUUGCAAGUACAGGGCGUUGCCCUCAAACUAAGCCUCGGGCCAUUUGAGAUUGUCCUUCUCCUUGGCUGGGGGCUUGCACCAUGACAUUCAUUGUGGUCAGGAACCCAGCCUGGGAAAGCAAGCAAGCAAUCAGGGGCCAGAUACAUGGGGCUCCGCAUGAAUCUGGGGGUGGCCCUGGGCUCAAGCACUAGUUUUGCUACUUCCAAGUUUUGAUUACCAGGAGCCUUGGUCUGUAAAAUGGAACUUACACUACCUAAUGAUACAAUAAUCCCAGGUACUUGCUAAAAGGCAGUGCCUCUUAAUAGCAGCGCUAAAUCUGAAAAUGAGAGCUUGUUACAGGUUAGGUUGUAAAUAUCAUGGUGAAGAGAAAUCCGAUCAUUCUCCCUUGGACAAUUGGUCUGAGCCUCGGAAGCAGGAAACGCACAGAUCCAGACCCGCGUCCCCUGGUAUGAAGCGGUCUCAGUGCCGUCUUUGUCCCGACGUUUUGGCUCAGCGUUCAAGGCGUCUCAAAAGCUGGCCUUGCCCCCCUGCUCUCGGCUGUUCUCUCCUGCUGUGACCGUGUGCUGCCCGCCUCACACGAUUGGCCUUUCGGGCACCACGUGACCUCUUUCCUGCACCGCUGUGCUCCCACGGUGUGAGAGCUUCGCCCCCUGAGAACUUCCUGGGAAAUGAGACGAUGCGGAGACGGCGCGUGCGCGUCGUCCACCCCAGGAUCUCCACGGGAAUUACUCUCAGAUCAGCCUGGCAGAGAGCAAGAGAAGCUGAACUGCACGGUUGAAAUCAUCAUUACCUUUUGCUCUCUCCCUCUCUGUUUGGCCAAGCAUAUAAAUCAUUGAAUUCAUUUACAUUAAAAGUAUA